rnacentral:rRNA from 1 species
UACGGGGGGGGGCAAGCGUUGUUCGGAAUUACUGGGCGUAAAGGGCGCGUAGGCGGUUCGCUAAGUUGGAUGUGAAAACUCUGGGCUCAACCCAGAGCCUGCAUCCAAAACUGGCGGGCUAGAGUUCUGGAGGGGGUAGCGGGAUUCCUGGUGUAGCGGUGAAAUGCGUAGAUAUCAGGAGGAACACCGGUGGCGAAGGCGGCUACCUGGACAGAAACUGACGCUGAGGCGCGAAAGCUAGGGGAGCAAACAGG